rnacentral:rRNA from 1 species
UGGCUCAGGAUGAACGCUAGCGGCAGGCCUAAUACAUGCAAGUCGAACGGUGAUAGCAAUAUCAUAGUGGCGCACGGGUGCGUAACACGUAUGCAACCUACCUAUUAUUGGGGGAUAGCCUUUGGAAACGGAGAUUAAUACCGCAUAAUACGAUUGACUGGCAUCGGUUGAUUGUUAAAGCUUUGGCGAUAAUAGAUGGGCAUGCGUCCAAUUAGUUAGUUGGUUAGGUAACGGCUGACCAAGACGAUGAUUGGUAGGGGAUCUGAGAGGAUAAUCCCCCACACUGGCACUGAGAUACGGGCCAGACUCCUACGGGAGGCAGCAGUAGGGAAUAUUGGGCAAUGGGCGGAAGCCUGACCCAGCCAUGCCGCGUGCAGGAAGAAGGCGCUAUGCGUUGUAAACUGCUUUUUUAUAGGAAGAAGGAUCCCUUGCGAGGGAAGGUGACGGUACUAUAAGAAUAAGCACCGGCUAACUCCGUGCCAGCAGCCGCGGUAAUACGGAGGGUGCAAGCGUUGUCCGGAUUUAUUGGGUUUAAAGGGUGCGUAGGCGGUUUAUUAAGUCAGUGGUGAAAGACGGUCGCUCAACGAUUGCAGUGCCAUUGAUACUGGU